rnacentral:lncRNA from 1 species
CGAAUCACCCGGUCCGUGUUUUCCAGCGGACUCGGCGCAGAGCAGUGAAGAGCUGGAGGAGAUGCUUGAUAAAGCCAUGCUGGAGCAAAGGGGCUCCGGACUGCACAUUUAUACACGUUCACAUUUGCCUCUGUGGGAAUUGGAAGUUUGGUAUUGCAAAUAAACUUUUGAAUAUGUGAACAUAUAUUAACGCCUCUGCUCACCCCAAAACACCACCAGUUAAACGCAUAUUUCAGCAUAUAUUUUUCCCCUCUGUUUCAACGCCUCAGUAAUUGUUUUCACAGCUCGUGCCCAUGCAACACACAGUCGUCCCCUGACAGGACAGCGCUGGCAAGGGCUCCAUCCACGAUCCCAAAUCGAAUGGUGUGAAUGAGGAGGAAUCGGUGUGAUGUGGGGCUGUGCGCUGCCUCGAUGAAUAAUGUAGAUGGGCAUCAGCAUGCGUCUACAGUCUCCGCGAAAGCACGGACGCUGAGAAUCAACGCACACAGCCGUUUCUGCUCAUUUAACGGCGACUUCGAGUAUGGAAACGGGUCUGGUCGCGAAUCAUCAAGUGAGAAAUGUUGGAAGCGGAGAUCCCCCUCCUUCGCCUCAUCAUCGCACACCUCCACAGCAACAGUCGCAAGCAUCAUUCCAUCAGCAGCGAGCCGUGCACCACCACAACAACACCAACCCGACACCCGCGCGCGGAGAUCGACAGCAGCAUGGAGGGAAAGAGAACGCUCUGGAGACGCAGGUCGGUCGCCAUCUGCGUUUGCUGAACACAAGCGACGAGGAGGAGCGCUCGUCCAAAACNNNNNNNNNNNNNNNNNNNNNNNCAACAACAACAACAACAACAACAACAGCGGCGGCUGCGCGUCCCAAAGCGGGAACAGCUCCGUUUCUGAGUUUAAUCAUUAUUACGGGAAUGGAAGAGGAGGGCCUUGCUUUGAUCAACAUGGCGGACAACAAAGCCCUAGGACGGCUUUAAUGCAUCAAGCACAGGGCAACAUGGAUCAAGUGCAAAACUCCCACGAAGGAUACCAUAAUAAUCCGUACAACCUCUAUCCCAACUACCGGCCGGGGUACGGUGGCGCUGGAUACGGUAUNNNNNNNNNNUAUUUUAAAGCGCAAAGUGUUACAAGUGCAAAAUGUAUAAAUAAAACU